rnacentral:tRNA from 1 species
AGGGUUAUAGUUAACUAUAACAUCUAAAUUGCUAUUAGAAAGUAUCACCCAGAUUAACCU